rnacentral:rRNA from 1 species
UUUUAGAACGCUCUAACCAAUAACCGCCAAGUCCCACAAAGUGUCAAGAAUAUUGUCACCAGCGGGGCGACGUUUAGCGGAUAGGCGACAAGCAAUAAAGUUAUUUGCUGCAAUCCUCGAUCCCACGGGCUGCAUCCCCCAGGGUCUAUAACACUCCCCGAAGGGAGCUACAUUCCCCCAGUCAUUUUACAACCCCCAAAAUCGACGCUGACCUGCCAAGAAGAAAGUACACCCAACAAAUCUCAAUUCAAAAACCGAGAUGGUUUGACCCUAUCACGAUCCCAAAACUAAAAUUUGUUAAGUUGAUUUCUCAACGGCACGACUG